rnacentral:rRNA from 1 species
UGGGGAAUUUUGGACAAUGGGGGCAACCCUGAUCCAGCAAUGCCGCGUGUGUGAAGAAGGCCUUCGGGUUGUAAAGCACUUUUGUCCGGAAAGAAAACUUCGGGGCUAAUACCCCUGGAGGAUGACGGUACCGGAAGAAUAAGCACCGGCUAACUACGUGCCAGCAGCCGCGGUAAUACGUAGGGUGCGAGCGUUAAUCGGAAUUACUGGGCGUAAAGCGUGCGCAGGCGGUGCUGUAAGACCGAUGUGAAAUCCCCGGGCUUAACCUGGGAACUGCAUUGGUGACUGCAGCGCUGGAGUUUGGCAGAGGGGGGUGGAAUUCCACGUGUAGCAGUGAAAUGCGUAGAGAUGUGGAGGAACACCGAUGGCGAAGGCAGCCCCCUGGGCCAAUACUGACGCUCAUGCACGAAAGCGUGGGGAGCAAACAGG